rnacentral:rRNA from 1 species
UAAGGAAUAUUGGUCAAUGGACGCAAGUCUGAACCAGCCAUGCCGCGUGAAGGAUGAAGGUCCUCUGGAUUGUAAACUUCUUUUAUCUGGGACGAAAACGGGAUUUUUAUCUCAAUUGACGGUACCAGAGGAAUAAGCACCGGCUAACUCCGUGCCAGCAGCCGCGGUAAUACGGAGGGUACGAGCGUUAUCCGGAUUUACUGGGUUUAAAGGGUGCGUAGGUGGGCUUAUAAGUCAGUGGUGAAAUCUCCGAGCUUAACUUGGAAACUGCCGUUGAUACUAUAGGUCUUGAACGAUCUGGAGGUGAGCGGAAUAUGUCAUGUAGCGGUGAAAUGCUUAGAUAUGACAUAGAACACCAAUUGCGAAGGCAGCUUACUACAUAUAAAUUGACGCUGAGGCACGAAAGCGUGGGGAUCAAACA